rnacentral:lncRNA from 1 species
UAAAUAUAAAUUUUUAAUUUAUUUAUUUACCCGUUCAUUAACAAGUCCUGUGCUUUAUAAUAUAUUAAAAAAUGGAAGGACGUGAAGAAAACAGGUUUGUAAAUGAUGUUGUACAUCAUGCAGAUAGCUCAGAAGAAGAAGCAGGAAUGUUUGACUGGAAAUGUUUGACUGGAAAACGAUGUUGUACAUAAUGCAGAUAGCUUAGGCAAAAAAGAGAUUGGUGAAAUGGAGAAUGAGACUAACUAGGGU